GUGAUCAUCGGUCAGCUUCCAUGUGUUUAUAUGCAGGUCUUCAUAGGGCAUUACCAAAUGCUUCCAGGCAACACUUUCUGCGCUUUAUGGUAAUCUUUUAAGCUUUUAGUCAACAUUAAUCUGUAGAAGCAGUGAAAAAGGAUUUGCUUUUUCAAAGGUAUAGAAAAGGUGAGAUCUUUACGUCCCCCUUCAAGAUUACGUUUGCGUGGAGGUGAAGAUAUGAAAAUGG
rnacentral:misc_RNA from 1 species